ACAAAGGCUCACUGCUGGAUAGAAAAGCAGAUGCCAGGAGACAUCUCUUACUCCCUAUCUUUGCUUUUGCCAUAUUUAAGAAAUGAAUCACGACAAUAAUACUGGAUUGUGAGUUUGGGAAUGAUGGGAAUAGUGAUGCUUUGUCAAGGAGAUUAACAGACCGAAUAACAUUAUCAUCAAUACAGGGUUACCAAGGAAUAGCCAGUUCUUAAGGAACUGUUUUAUUGUCACUAGUAUAGUAACACAAAUUGAGAACUAAAAUCAGUCAAAAGAAGUUGCAGCUACAAAAUUAUGGCAUUUGGUGAGUUAGGCAUCUUAGUAUUGUUAUCCUUUUUUUUAUUUCGUCAAAUGAUCUUCCAACCCAAACCAUUCCAUAAGUCUGUGAAUAAAAAUAUUUGCCUAUCUAUGCAUAUUGCAAAACACAAAGCACUUGCUGAGGACGAAUCCUAUAGACAUCUCCAGAAAGCAGAGCACACAGCUGGAGACAAUUCAGCAGGUUUAAGGCUGUGCUGCUGAGUCAGCCACACACCUUGUGAUAGCUGCUGUCCUCAGCCAAGCACCGCCAGAGGAUGGGAGAUCCAGGGUGCUGCUCGUGCUGCUCAUGAAGGCCUGGAGCUGGACAACUGUGGCAAUCACAGUCCUCGGUGAACAUGUGGAUGUGGUGAAGGUGCAUUUGUGAAAAAAAGACCAUUUGUGAAUAUGGGACCAUGAGGUCUUAUGGAAAUCAGCCUCUGUUGCUUCAGCUGGUUGCUGUACAUCAGGACAGAGGAAGAUGCUGCUGGUAUAGAGGCCUUCUUAUUUGUAGAUGGUCUUCAAACAUGGUUGAGGUUUUUUUCUUCUGAAGCUUGUCUGUGUUCCCUAAGAGCUGUAGAAUUGAAAA